UUUGUAUACAUUGGGGGAUCGUGAAGAUUUUAUCAGUGAGGAUUUGCUCUCAGAAGGACGAUGAUAAAUUUUAAACUCUCAGACAUAGUACGAUAAGGUUGUAUGUCUAAAGGGAAACAGCCCAGAACAAGAGUUAAAGGUUCCAAAAUUAUUGUUCAGUGAAAAACAAGGAAGUAUUUUUCGAAUACGACCAGGAAAUAGGCUUAGAAGCGGCCAUUUUUUGAAGAUCUCGUAACAGAGCACUGGUUUAAAUUGCCAAUUGGCAAUUUUAUAAGUUAAAAGCAUCAAAAAUUUAACGGAUCUAAACAAUAUACCUAUACCUUGUACACAAGGGCAUAUAUACCUUUGUGAGGUAGCAGAACGUUGGGCAAAUCUUUGAGUUUAUAUCUUUGAUAUGAAUUAAAAAGCAAGUACAUGAGAUGGGUUGGACACGAAGGAAAGGUUUUAGACAACCCCAAGUGAUAAUGCUGACAUGAGUAACGAAAAAGGGAUAUCCCCUCGCCUUAAGCUUAUGGUAUCAAAUUAAGUAACGGCCCCUAAAUUUAUAAACUUUCUUAAAUGGUUAAAUGAUGGGUAAAUCUUUAUAUGUAUUACAACACUUUAGAUAGUCCCCUCUUUAUCUAUAAAGCACUAAGUGUUCUGGAAAUAAAUACAUAUAUUUAACCGUACCUAGACACUACCACAAGUAAGCAAGUAGAG
rnacentral:rRNA from 1 species